GAUGAAGAACGUAGCGAAAUGCGAUACGUAAUGUGAAUUGCAGAAUUCAGUGAAUCAUCGAAUCUUUGAACGCAUAUUGCGCUCUCUGGUAUUCCGGAGAGCAUGCUUGUUUGAGUAUCAGUAAACACCUCAACUCCCUUUUCUUUUUUGAAAUGGGAGCUGGACUUGAGUGAUCCCAACACUUUUCUCACUGGAAAGUGGCGGGUCACUUGAAAUGCAGGUGCAGCUGGACUUUUCUCUGAGCUAUAAGCAUAUCUAUUUAGUCUGCCUAAAAAACAGAUUAUUACCUUUGCUGCAGCUAACAUAAAGGAGAUGAGUUCUUGUGCUGACUGAUGCAGGAUUCACAGAGACAGCUUUGCGGCUGACUUUGUAAACUCGAUCUCAAAUCAAGUAAGACUACCCGCUGAACUUAAGCAUAUCAAUAAGCGGAGGA
rnacentral:misc_RNA from 1 species